UUUUCUCUCUCUAUCUCUCUCCCCCAUAGCCACUUAAACUUCACCCGUUCUCUCUCUCUCUCACUCGCCAUUUUCGAGCAGAGCCAGAUUCGGCUACCAGCAACGGCGGCGGCGGCUCCAGUGACGGCAACGGCGGCUGUGGCUCCCUCCUCCAGCAUCCAACGAUCGGCCACUGUCGAGAGCUCGCGCUUCGUCAUGCUUCCAUCUCCAGUGUUUCAAGUCAGCUAUUGGGGCAACUAGAAGCUUUUCAUGCCUUCUGGACCACCGGCACAAUCACAGCGAAGAAUCGAUGAUGUGUCGUAUGCUGAUGAGAUGAGAUUAUGUUGUUGAUGAUACAGAAGAAGAUGUGCAUUUAGGGGUUGCACAUCAGAUAUACAAGGAUGGAAAUUAUAAGCAAGCUUUGGAGCAUUGCAAUGCUGUUUAUGAGAGCAACUCAUUGCAUUUAUAUUAUUAGGUCUCUUAAUCUUCUCCAUUUUUAAUUAGUUUCAAAAACCUAAUUUCCUUUUUUCGUGGUGUUGCCUAAGUUCCAGAAAGUGAUCAGCUUCUUUUCUAUCUUUUUACGCAAUACUCUUUCUUAAUAUUUCAUUUAGUUUGCUCGGAUAACAGUUUCUAAUGUAAUUUAUUGCCCAUUCAAUAAUGAAGAAUGAUAAAUGAAAACCUUAUAUGUGCAAGCCACUAUGUGGACAUAUGUCUAUGUAUGGAUUGAGGGAGAGGGAGGGUUUAGGAGAGAACAAACUAACAAAAGCAACAGGCUAUUAAGUACCAGUUAGCCUCAA